rnacentral:lncRNA from 1 species
GACUGGAAUGAACCGAAUCCAUUCAGGAUGAUGCGGGAGGGUGAUAAAUGUUGAUGGGAAGUAGUGGGGAGUGGUGGAUGAGGUGGAACGAGUCAUAGUGACGUUGAAUGGGUGAGAAUGGGUCGGAGGUCGUUUGAACAACCAUUGGCCGCAGUCCGGACACACGCGACCGGGGGUGGAACAUGCAGGGCCGCUAUCACAAGUAUGCGAUCGCGGUCGAUGUAGGGUUAGCCGCGAUCCUAACUCAUGCGGUCGCUG